GCGCCGGGGUGGAGUCAUCCUGGGAACCUCCACGCGACUUUGGUGGAGGUAGUUCUUUGGCAGCGGGCAUGGCGGGUACCGUGGUGCUGGACGAUGUGGAGCUGCGGGAGGCUCAGAGAGAUUACCUGGACUUCCUGGACGACGAGGAAGACCAGGGAAUUUAUCAGAGCAAAGUUCGGGAGCUGAUCAGUGACAACCAAUACCGGCUGAUUGUCAAUGUGAAUGACCUGCGCAGGAAAAACGAGAAGAGGGCUAACCGGCUUCUGAACAAUGCCUUUGAGGAGCUGGUUGCCUUCCAGCGGGCCUUAAAGGAUUUUGUGGCCUCCAUUGAUGCUACCUAUGCCAAGCAGUAUGAGGAGUUCUACGUAGGACUGGAAGGCAGCUUUGGCUCCAAGCACGUCUCCCCGCGGACUCUUACCUCCUGCUUCCUCAGCUGUGUGGUCUGUGUGGAGGGCAUUGUCACUAAAUGUUCUCUAGUUCGUCCCAAAGUCGUCCGCAGUGUCCACUACUGUCCUGCUACUAAGAAGACCAUAGAGCGACGUUAUUCUGAUCUCACCACCCUGGUGGCCUUUCCCUCCAGCUCUGUCUAUCCUACCAAGGAUGAGGAGAACAAUCCCCUUGAGACAGAAUAUGGCCUUUCUGUCUACAAGGAUCACCAGACCAUCACCAUCCAGGAGAUGCCGGAGAAGGCCCCAGCCGGCCAGCUCCCCCGCUCUGUGGACGUCAUUCUGGAUGAUGACUUGGUGGAUAAAGCGAAGCCUGGUGACCGGGUUCAGGUGGUGGGAACCUACCGUUGCCUUCCUGGAAAGAAGGGAGGCUACACCUCUGGGACCUUCAGGACUGUCCUGAUUGCCUGUAAUGUUAAGCAGAUGAGCAAGGAUGCUCAGCCCUCUUUCUCUGCUGAGGAUAUAGCCAAGAUCAAGAAGUUCAGUAAAACCCGAUCCAAGGAUAUCUUUGACCAGCUGGCCAAGUCAUUGGCCCCAAGUAUCCAUGGGCAUGACUAUGUCAAGAAAGCAAUCCUCUGCUUGCUCUUGGGAGGGGUGGAACGAGACCUAGAAAAUGGCAGCCACAUCCGUGGGGACAUCAAUAUUCUUCUAAUAGGAGACCCAUCCGUUGCCAAGUCUCAGCUUCUGCGGUAUGUGCUUUGCACUGCACCCCGAGCUAUCCCCACCACUGGCCGGGGCUCCUCUGGAGUGGGUCUGACGGCUGCUGUCACCACAGACCAGGAAACAGGAGAGCGCCGUCUGGAAGCAGGGGCCAUGGUCCUGGCUGACCGAGGCGUGGUUUGCAUUGAUGAAUUUGACAAAAUGUCUGACAUGGAUCGCACAGCCAUCCAUGAAGUGAUGGAGCAGGGUCGAGUGACCAUUGCCAAGGCUGGCAUCCAUGCUCGGCUGAAUGCCCGCUGCAGUGUUUUGGCAGCUGCCAACCCUGUCUACGGCAGGUAUGACCAGUAUAAGACUCCAAUGGAGAACAUUGGGCUACAGGACUCACUGCUGUCACGAUUUGACUUGCUCUUCAUCAUGCUGGAUCAGAUGGAUCCUGAGCAGGAUCGGGAGAUCUCAGACCAUGUCCUUCGGAUGCACCGUUACAGAGCACCUGGGGAGCAGGAUGGCGAUGCUAUGCCCUUGGGUAGUGCUGUGGAUAUCCUGGCCACAGAUGAUCCCAACUUUAGCCAGGAAGAUCAGCAGGACACCCAGAUUUAUGAGAAGCAUGACAACCUUCUACAUGGGACCAAGAAGAAAAAGGAGAAGAUGGUGAGUGCAGCAUUCAUGAAGAAGUACAUCCAUGUGGCCAAAAUCAUCAAGCCUGUCCUGACACAGGAGUCGGCCACCUACAUUGCAGAAGAGUAUUCACGCCUGCGCAGCCAGGAUAGCAUGAGCUCAGACACCGCCAGGACAUCUCCAGUUACAGCCCGAACACUGGAAACUCUGAUUCGACUGGCCACAGCCCAUGCGAAGGCCCGCAUGAGCAAGACUGUGGACCUGCAGGAUGCAGAGGAAGCUGUGGAGUUGGUCCAGUAUGCUUACUUUAAGAAGGUUCUGGAGAAGGAGAAGAAACGUAAGAAGCGAAGUGAGGAUGAAUCAGAGACAGAAGAUGAAGAGGAGAAAAGCCAAGAGGACCAGGAGCAGAAGAGGAAGAGAAGGAAGACUCGCCAGCCAGAUGCCAAAGAUGGGGAUUCAUACGACCCCUAUGACUUCAGUGACACAGAGGAGGAAAUGCCUCAAGUACACACUCCAAAGACGGCAGACUCACAGGAGACCAAGGAAUCCCAGAAAGUGGAGUUGAGUGAAUCCAGUGUUUAUUUUUUACUUUUUGUAGAGACGGGAUCUCACCAUGUUGCCCAGGCUGGUCUUGGACUCCUGGCCUCAAGCAGUCCUUCUACCUGAGCCUCCCAAAAGGCUGGGAUUACAGGCAUAAGCCACUGUGCUUGUUUGAUCUCAUUCUUUUUAAUGACUGCAGGGUUUCCAUGGUUGAAGGCAUUCAAGGUGGCCCUCUUGGAUGUGUUCCGGGAAGCUCAUGCGCAGUCAAUCGGCAUGAAUCGCCUCACAGAAUCCAUCAACCGGGACAGCGAAGAGCCCUUCUCUUCAGUUGAGAUCCAGGCUGCUCUGAGCAAGAUGCAGGAUGACAAUCAGGUCAUGGUGUCUGAGGGCAUCAUCUUCCUCAUCUGAGGAGGCCUCGUCUCUGAACUUGGGUUGUGCCGAGAGAGUUUGUUCUGUGUUUCCCACCCUCUCCCUGACCCAAGUCUUUGCCUCUACUCCCUUAACAGUGUUGAAUUCAACUGAAGGCGAGGAAUGUUGGUGAUGAAGCUGAGUUCAGGACUCGGUGGACCCUUUGGGAAUGGGUCAUGAAAGCUGCCAUGGGGUGAGGAAAGAGGAGACAGUGGGAGAGGACAAUGACUAUUGCAUCUUCAUUGCAAAAGCACUGGCUCAUCCGCCCUACUUCCCAUCCCACACAAACCCAAUUGUAAAUAACAUAUGACUUCUGAGUACUUUUGGGGGCACAACUGUUUUCUGUUUGCUGUUUUUUUGUUUUGUUUUUUUUCUCCAGAGCACUUUGGUCUAGACUAGGCUUUGGGUGGUUCCAAUUGGUGGAGAGAAGCUCUGAGGCACGUCAUGCAGGUCAAGAAAGCUUUCUUUGCAGUAGCACCAGUUAAGGUGAAUAUGUAUUGUAUCACAAAACAAACCCAAUAUCCAGAUGAAUAUCCGAGAUGUUGAAUAAACUUAGCCAUUUCGUACACAUGG